UUUCCUUUCCUCCCUGCUUGCUGCCUUACCUAUUAAGGGCUUAAGAACCCUCUGAAGCUGUGGGGUAAGGGAGGGGGGAGCAGGCGCCCCCGCUCAGGUCUCCGGGAGUCAGUUCUACGUCUGGCUGGGCCUCCCCUACUUCUACUCUCUCCCCACCUGUCUCUAGUUCUUUCUCUCAGUUUUUCCCGGUGUGGGUUUUUAUUUCCACUUUUCACCCUUCUUUGGGGAGUACCUAGGGUUCAUCUAUUUCAAGUCUCUUGGUAAACAGCGGCCCAGAGAGCUGGCCUUGCCAAGGGCACAAAGGCCCGGAAUAAGCAGAAGCGGGGCUGUAGCCAGCCCUGAUCUGUGCCCUAGCUGUGACUCCCCGCUGUCUCUGUUUCAUUUGAGAUCCCCAAAACCUCCCCUCUGCUUUCCAAAAUCUUCCCUCUGAUCUUUCCUCUCCCUCCCCUCUCAUCCAUCUCCUGGCUCUUCCCUCCUCUCCUCUCUUCCCACGCCCUCCACCUGCUAGUUCCUCUGCCGCUCUCACGGGAGGCCUGUCUGUCUGCCUGCCCUGCAGGGUUUGUGGGGAAGUAAACAUCUGUCCACGAGUGUGCUCGCACACACUGUUGUACAGACCUGUCUGCUCACCCAUCACGUCCAAAUUCCCCACGGACAGAGGCGUUCACAUAAUGCAGAGGCCACAGAUGUACCCAGUCUCAGACACACUGAAUACCACUGGGGUGGACAGCGAGGGUUUCUCAGGGACACAGAGACGUACUCCAAGAAAACACGCAAAGAGACGCUGUCAUUAGUUUUAUUGUCAAUAAGAACAAUGCGGCAGCCGUAGGUCUUUGGGGAGCAGCAGCUCGAAGACAAACAUAAUAAAGAUCAGGCAGCCCUUGAGGCACCCUUCUCCCCACCUCUGCUCCACACUUACCGGGGAGACACUCAAAUUGGACACCGUGAUAAACCCUCACAAAUAAACACAUGUGUAUUUAUCUUGGAACAAAGCUCUCAGCUCAGUGCUCAUAAGACCUACAGCUACAGAUACGACCCAAACCUGUUUUGUAAAACGGGCUUUCGUGCUGUGGAAGAUGGAGUCACAGUCCCCCAAGAUGUCCACGUCUUAAUUCCUGGAACCUGUAAAUCUGUUACCUUCCAGGGCAAAGGGGAAUUAAGUUUGCAGAUGGACUUAGGGUUGCUGAUCGCUUGGGUUCGAAACAGAGAGAUUUCUCUAGAUUAUCCACAGGGUUCAAGGUCCACAACAUCCUUAAAGGCAGAGGACAGAAGCAGGAGAGAACAACCAGCGAGAGACGUGUGCGAAGCACUCAGCCUAACACUGUUGACUUUGAACACUGAGGAAAGGGCUGCGUGCAGAGGAAGCGGACUGCCCCUCGGAGCCGGGAAAGGAAGGCAAUGGACUCCAGGAGGCCUCCAGUCCUGCAGAUGGCUUGAUUUUCACCCAGUAGGACCCACUUUCGACUUCUGAACUACAGGACUGUGAGACUCUGCUGUUUACAAUGUGCAGCUGUCCCAAGAAUUGCUGCACAUACUCUGGGGAGACAGCCCUGAUGGGAAGGGGGCUCGAGGCAGACAGAGGAUGAAGUUUCCAGCAGAUCAACCUGAUACUCAUGGACAUGACCCCGGUUGCAAGGCCAGCACCCUCCCAGCCCGCGCUCUGUAGCUCUGUAGCAGCUCUGAGCUGAGAGGAUGACUCAGAUUCCUGGGGUUAAGGAUUUGCUUUCAGGUAGAGCUGCUGAAAUUCAGACCCACUGCCUCCACCCCUGUGUUCUUUCCCUGAGGCGUUAUGUCCUGUCUUCUGAGACUUGAUUUUCUCUUUCCUGUCCCCCUCCUUGAAGCCCCUGCUCAGGGCUAAUGGUGCCUGUGGCGGGGGGGUGGGGGGGUGGGGGGGGUUCCUCCCUCACUUUUAUCCUGGAUGCUCAUUUGUUCUGUGUCCUUCUGACCACCCUCCCCCCCCACACACACACAGCAAUGUCACUUUAUCCACCCUUUAAACUGCCCUACAACAUUCCAUACUCAUUCUUCCCUCCAGUGUGUCCCCAGACCUCCUCAUCCCGCCUCCCCCCGCCCCCCCCAGCAGAGUCCCCUUAGGGGCCAUGCAUUUGCUCCUGCAUUCAGGUGGGCUCCCAGCAAGCACUUGCUGAGUCGAGCACUGUGCUGGGAACUCUGGUACAGGGUGAGCAGGCCAGCCAUGGUCCCUUGUCCUCUGGCAAAUUAGAUUCUGUUGGGAAAGACUAACCAUAAGCAAGUAAACAAAUAAAUGAACAAGAUAAUUAUA